GAUGAAGAACGUAGCGAAAUGCGAUAAGUAAUGUGAAUUGCAGAAUUCAGUGAAUCAUCGAAUCUUUGAACGCACAUUGCGCCCCCUGGAAUUCCGGGGGGCAUGCCUGUUCGAGCGUCUCAGGGACGAACCCUCGCGCGGGUGUACGCGCGGUCGUUGCUGCGGUGGCGUGCCCGAGGCGGCGGCCACCGCGCUGGAAUCCAUGGGCGGACGCCUGCCGCGUGGCCGAGCGUGAUAUGACGCAUUGGCGCUCGCACGCGGAGAGGCUGCCAGCCCUGGCCCGUCUGUCGGGCGGGGGAGAGCAAGACACGUGAACUCCUCGAAUCAGGUAGGGAUACCCGCUGAACUUAAGCAUAUCAAUAAGCGGAGGA
rnacentral:misc_RNA from 1 species